AACGUGGGCCCCUUACCGGGGUUGCGGACAGUGUCUGGUGGGUAGUUUGACUGGGGCGGUCUCCUCCUAAAGAGUAACGGAGGAGCACGAAGGUUGGCUAAUCCUGGUCGGACAUCAGGAGGUUAGUGCAAUGGCAUAAGCCAGCUUGACUGCGAGCGUGACGGCGCGAGCAGGUGCGAAAGCAGGUCAUAGUGAUCCGGUGGUUCUGAAUGGAAGGGCCAUCGCUCAACGGAUAAAAGGUACUCCGGGGAUAACAGGCUGAUACCGCCCAAGAGUUCAUAUCGACGGCGGUGUUUGGCACCUCGAUGUCGGCUCAUCACAUCCUGGGGCUGAAGUAGGUCCCAAGGGUAUGGCUGUUCGCCAUUUAAAGUGGUACGCGAGCUGGGUUUAGAACGUCGUGAGACAGUUCGGUCCCUAUCUGCCGUGGGCGCUGGAGAACUGAGGGGGGCUGCUCCUAGUACGAGAGGACCGGAGUGGACGCAUCACUGGUGUUCGGGUUGUCAUGCCAAUGGCACUGCCCGGUAGCUAAAUGCGGAAGAGAUAAGUGCUGAAAGCAUCUAAGCACGAAACUUGCCCCGAGAUGAGUUCUCCCUGACUCCUUGAGAGUCCUGAAGGAACGUUGAAGACGACGACGUUGAUAGGCCGGGUGUGUAAGCGCAGCGAUGCGUUGAGCUAACCGGUACUAAUGAACCGUGAGGCUUAACCUU
rnacentral:rRNA from 1 species